CAUAGAGACUGGCAACGAAGCAUCAAAACGAAGAAGAAAAUGGAGAAAAGAGAAGACUUGAAGUGAAUUUUACCCUACUUGCCAUUGUUGGUUAGAUCAUCAACUCUGUUUUGGCCAUCCAAAGUAGUCGAAGCUCUUAAAUCAAUGUCGAAAGGACCCGAAAACAGCCGGGUCAACUCAAGAGAAGUGCUUUCUGUGGCGAUUUGUGAUAUCAAAAGCUCGCUCUUUCUCUUUGAAUCUCUCGCUCCUUUGGCCCUCAAUGGUUACACGCUUUUCUUUGAUAAUGUUUUGUUGUUGAUGUUUCAAUGGGAAGGGGAUUUUGUGUUCAUGGGUAUGUUUUUCACUUGAAUUUUGUUGGUUUAUUGAGUUUCUUGUGGUUAAUGUGAUGUGAAAUUUACAAGUUCUGUGUCAUGGUUAUGUUUAAUAGUUUGAAUGUGAAGUGAAAUUUAUGAGUUUUAGGUUGAUGGAUAUGGUUUUGCCGUACAAUUAUGAAGAACUUAUUGGCUAGAAUCAUGAUGUAUGUCAAAAGCUCUUUUUGAAGAGAAUUUGGAUGAGCACAAGAUAUUGGUGAACUGUUUGACGAAUAGCUAAUUACAUAAAGAUUUUAUUAUCUCUGAAGCUGAAUAAGGAGGUUUUAUGCAGCUUAUAUCUUGGGCGGAAUCAACAAAAUGGUUCUUCUAGCACUAGCAAGUUUUCUCUUGCAGUUGCCCUCUCUAUUAGAAAUUCACUAUCAAAAUGCAGAUGAUUUUCUUGGAAAAUAUGGCAUCCAAACGCGUCUCAGCAAUUGGGUCCACAAGAAGCAGGCAUAGUGUUCCCCAGCCAGGUAUCUUUAUAUUCGGGCUAACAAUUGUGAGGCACACGAUUCAGUGCACUGUCAAAGCUAAGAUAUAUCAGUAUUUUAGGUCUACUAAAAAAUUGCUAUAUAUAAGUUGCAUAAAUGCUGCAAAACUUGAUAUUUCCUGUGUCAUAUAAUCUAUCAGAUAAGAGACCACCUUAUCAUCUUAAAAAUUGUUUCUUGGGCCUUUUCCAGUAGUUUCAUUGCUUAUUCUUCUUCGCUUUCGGUUGUUUUUCUAAUAUGGCAUAAUCAUUGAUAGUUUAAAUAUUGCUUUUCAGGAAUUGAUUGUUGCUCUUCUCGCAUGCUCUUUCUUUUGUUUGUUCCAUCUUCCAACCAUCAACUUUCAUGAAUUGUUUGCAAGGUUCUUCCUUUAGACCAUCAUCCUUCAUUCCUCUUUAUAUCUUGAAGCUUACACGUGGAGCAAAUCCAUCGUACCCCUCUGCCCUUUUGAGGCUUACAGUUUAGGCUCAAUAGAAGAUCACCCCACCAAUGGUCUUCAAGUAGAUUUUGCAAACAAGUAUAUUGGAGGUGGUGCACUUCACAGGGGGUGUGUGCAGUGAUCAUGUGGAUAAAAGGAAUAUUGAUGUUUUUCGGAGACGUAAAACGUGGAUAAUUGCUAUAGAUUCAUUAUGCUGGCCCGGAAGAAAACAAUAUGCGCUCAAAUACUUCCUUCGGGAGACAAAUAAAGCUCUUUGUGCGUUUAUUGAUCAAUCUAAAUUUGGUCAAUAUGAAAGACUUUAUCUAGACAUCGGACCUCAUGAAGCCAAGGAUAAAGACAACAUAUCAAGGAAUAAUUUUUCAGUGCGAGUGAGUUGUCAGUUUCUGAAACAACAGGAUUCUCCAGGGAUUGUGUCUGGGAAUUGGGGAUGUGGUGCUUUAGGGGAAGAUCCUGAGCUGAAGGCCAUAAUUCAGUGGCUUGGUGCUUCACAGGUAAUAAUUCCUUAUAAGAAUACUGUAAAGGCAUGUUAUAUAUUUAUAAAUAGUUCGUCUCUCCUGCAAACUUCUUGAUUUUUUUUAGUUGCGGAUUUGAAAUCUCAUUGGCAAGAGUUAAUUCUUAUAUGUGAGAGUUGAUAGGAGUUCAUGAAAUUUUCUCAUAUGUUCAUAAAUAUGUAUCACCAAGAUACUCAAUAUUGUGUGUUGGAUGGAAGGGGUAGUAGACCAAACCUUAAUUUUGAUUGGGAAGUUUCUACUUUUUUGGGUGCGUGUUUCUCCUAGCUCAUUUCUUGUUUUUGUUCAACAUUGACAUAUAGAAAAAAAUUUAAUAUUUUUCUUUCUGGCAUUAAGACCUUUUAUUUCAUACUAUACAUGUGG